rnacentral:rRNA from 1 species
GGGUUGUGAGGUUAAGCGACUAAGCGUACACGGUGGAUGCCCUGGCAGUCAGAGGCGAUGAAGGACGUGCUAAUCUGCGAUAAGCGUCGGUAAGGUGAUAUGAACCGUUAUAACCGGCGAUUUCCGAAUGGGGAAACCCAGUGUGAUUCGUCACACUAUCAUUAACUGAAUCCAUAGGUUAAUGAGGCGAACCGGGGGAACUGAAACAUCUAAGUACCCCGAGGAAAAGAAAUCAACCGAGAUUCCCCCAGUAGCGGCGAGCGAACGGGGAGCAGCCCAGAGCCUGAAUCAGUGUGUGUGUUAGUGGAAGCGUCUGGAAAGGCGUGCGAUACAGGGUGACAGCCCCGUACACAAAAAUGCACAUGCUGUGAGCUCGAUGAGUAGGGCGGGACACGUGGUAUCCUGUCUGAAUAUGGGGGGACCAUCCUCCAAGGCUAAAUACUCCUGACUGACCGAUAGUGAACCAGUACCGUGAGGGAAAGGCGAAAAGAACCCCGGCGAGGGGAGUGAAAAAGAACCUGAAACCGUGUACGUACAAGCAGUGGGAGCACAGAGCAAUCUGUGUGACUGCGUACCUUUUGUAUAAUGGGUCAGCGACUUAUAUUCUGUAGCAAGGUUAACCGAAUAGGGGAGCCGAAGGGAAACCGAGUCUUAACUGGGCGUUAAGUUGCAGGGUAUAGACCCGAAACCCGGUGAUCUAGCCAUGGGCAGGUUGAAGGUUGGGUAACACUAACUGGAGGACCGAACCGACUAAUGUUGAAAAAUUAGCGGAUGACUUGUGGCUGGGGGUGAAAGGCCAAUCAAACCGGGAGAUAGCUGGUUCUCCCCGAAAGCUAUUUAGGUAGCGCCUCGUGAAUUCAUCUCCGGGGGUAGAGCACUGUUUCGGCAAGGGGGUCAUCCCGACUUACCAACCCGAUGCAAACUGCGAAUACCGGAGAAUGUUAUCACGGGAGACACACGGCGGGUGCUAACGUCCGUCGUGAAGAGGGAAACAACCCAGACCGCCAGCUAAGGUCCCAAAGUCAUGGUUAAGUGGGAAACGAUGUGGGAAGGCCCAGACAGCCAGGAUGUUGGCUUAGAAGCAGCCAUCAUUUAAAGAAAGCGUAAUAGCUCACUGGUCGAGUCGGCCUGCGCGGAAGAUGUAACGGGGCUAAACCAUGCACCGAAGCUGCGGCAGCGACGCUUAUGCGUUGUUGGGUAGGGGAGCGUUCUGUAAGCCUGCGAAGGUGUGCUGUGAGGCAUGCUGGAGGUAUCAGAAGUGCGAAUGCUGACAUAAGUAACGAUAAAGCGGGUGAAAAGCCCGCUCGCCGGAAGACCAAGGGUUCCUGUCCAACGUUAAUCGGGGCAGGGUGAGUCGACCCCUAAGGCGAGGCCGAAAGGCGUAGUCGAUGGGAAACAGGUUAAUAUUCCUGUACUUGGUGUUACUGCGAAGGGGGGACGGAGAAGGCUAUGUUGGCCGGGCGACGGUUGUCCCGGUUUAAGCGUGUAGGCUGGUUUUCCAGGCAAAUCCGGAAAAUCAAGGCUGAGGCGUGAUGACGAGGCACUACGGUGCUGAAGCAACAAAUGCCCUGCUUCCAGGAAAAGCCUCUAAGCAUCAGGUAACAUCAAAUCGUACCCCAAACCGACACAGGUGGUCAGGUAGAGAAUACCAAGGCGCUUGAGAGAACUCGGGUGAAGGAACUAGGCAAAAUGGUGCCGUAACUUCGGGAGAAGGCACGCUGAUAUGUAGGUGAAGCGACUUGCUCGUGGAGCUGAAAUCAGUCGAAGAUACCAGCUGGCUGCAACUGUUUAUUAAAAACACAGCACUGUGCAAACACGAAAGUGGACGUAUACGGUGUGACGCCUGCCCGGUGCCGGAAGGUUAAUUGAUGGGGUCAGCGCAAGCGAAGCUCUUGAUCGAAGCCCCGGUAAACGGCGGCCGUAACUAUAACGGUCCUAAGGUAGCGAAAUUCCUUGUCGGGUAAGUUCCGACCUGCACGAAUGGCGUAAUGAUGGCCAGGCUGUCUCCACCCGAGACUCAGUGAAAUUGAACUCGCUGUGAAGAUGCAGUGUACCCGCGGCAAGACGGAAAGACCCCGUGAACCUUUACUAUAGCUUGACACUGAACAUUGAGCCUUGAUGUGUAGGAUAGGUGGGAGGCUUUGAAGUGUGGACGCCAGUCUGCAUGGAGCCGACCUUGAAAUACCACCCUUUAAUGUUUGAUGUUCUAACGUUGACCCGUGAUCCGGGUUGCGGACAGUGUCUGGUGGGUAGUUUGACUGGGGCGGUCUCCUCCUAAAGAGUAACGGAGGAGCACGAAGGUUGGCUAAUCCUGGUCGGACAUCAGGAGGUUAGUGCAAUGGCAUAAGCCAGCUUGACUGCGAGCGUGACGGCGCGAGCAGGUGCGAAAGCAGGUCAUAGUGAUCCGGUGGUUCUGAAUGGAAGGGCCAUCGCUCAACGGAUAAAAGGUACUCCGGGGAUAACAGGCUGAUACCGCCCAAGAGUUCAUAUCGACGGCGGUGUUUGGCACCUCGAUGUCGGCUCAUCACAUCCUGGGGCUGAAGUAGGUCCCAAGGGUAUGGCUGUUCGCCAUUUAAAGUGGUACGCGAGCUGGGUUUAGAACGUCGUGAGACAGUUCGGUCCCUAUCUGCCGUGGGCGCUGGAGAACUGAGGGGGGCUGCUCCUAGUACGAGAGGACCGGAGUGGACGCAUCACUGGUGUUCGGGUUGUCAUGCCAAUGGCACUGCCCGGUAGCUAAAUGCGGAAGAGAUAAGUGCUGAAAGCAUCUAAGCACGAAACUUGCCCCGAGAUGAGUUCUCCCUGACUCCUUGAGAGUCCUGAAGGAACGUUGAAGACGACGACGUUGAUAGGCCGGGUGUGUAAGCGCAGCGAUGCGUUGAGCUAACCGGUACUAAUGAACCGUGAGGCUUAACCUUACAACGCCGAAG